rnacentral:rRNA from 1 species
GACGAACGCUGGCGGCGUGCUUAACACAUGCAAGUCGAACGGAAAGGCCCUGCUUUUGUGGGGUGCUCGAGUGGCGAACGGGUGAGUAACACGUGAGUAACCUGCCCUUGACUUUGGGAUAACUUCAGGAAACUGGGGCUAAUACCGGAUAGGAGCUCCGGCUGCAUGGUGGUGGUUGGAAAGUUUCGGCGGUUGGGGAUGGACUCGCGGCUUAUCAGCUUGUUGGUGGGGUAGUGGCUUACCAAGGCUUCGACGGGUAGCCGGCCUGAGAGGGCGACCGGCCACACUGGGACUGAGACACGGCCCAGACUCCUACGGGAGGCAGCAGUGGGGAAUAUUGCACAAUGGGCGGAAGCCUGAUGCAGCAACGCCGCGUGAGGGAUGACGGCCUUCGGGUUGUAAACCGCUUUCGGCAGGGACGAAGCGAGAGUGACGGUAACGGGUGAAGAAGCACCGGCUAACUACGUG